UACGGGGGGAGCAAGCGUUGUUCGGAUUUACUGGGCGUAAAGGGCGCGUAGGCGGCGCAACAAGUCACUUGUGAAAUCUCCGGGCUUAACCCGGAGCGGCCAAGUGAUACUGUCGUGCUAGAGUGCGGAAGGGGCUACUGGAAUUCUCGGUGUAGCGGUGAAAUGCGUAGAUAUCGAGAGGAACACCUGCGGCGAAGGCGGGUAGCUGGGCCGACACUGACGCUGGAUGACGCGAAAGCCAGGGGAGCGAACGGG
rnacentral:rRNA from 1 species